rnacentral:rRNA from 1 species
GACGAACGCCGGCGGCAGGCCUAACACAUGCAAGUCGAGCGAAGCCUUCGGGCUUAGCGGCGGACGGGUGAGUAACGCGUGGGAACGUGCCCUUUGGUACGGAAUAGCCCCGGGAAACUGGGAGUAAUACCGUAUGUGGUCGAGAGACGAAAGAUUUAUCGCCAAAGGAUCGGCCCGCGUUGGAUUAGGUAGUUGGUGGGGUAAUGGCCUACCAAGCCGACGAUCCAUAGCUGGUUUGAGAGGAUGAUCAGCCACACUGGGACUGAGACACGGCCCAGACUCCUACGGGAGGCAGCAGUGGGGAAUCUUAGACAAUGGGGGAAACCCUGAUCUAGCCAUGCCGCGUGAUCGAUGAAGGCCUUAGGGUUGUAAAGAUCUUUCAGUGGGGAAGAUAAUGACUGUACCCACAGAAGAAGCCCCGGCUAACUCCGUGCCAGCCGCCGCCGUAAAAC